rnacentral:rRNA from 1 species
GGAGCUUCGUAUGCAGGCUGAAGCAUGACCGUAAGGACAUGUGGACAGUAUACGAGUGAGAAUGUUGGCAUGAGUAGCGAGACGUGGGUGAGAAUCCCACGGGCCGUAAACCCAAGGUUUCCAGGGGAAGGUUCGUCCGCCCUGGGUUAGUCGGGACCUAAGCCGAGGCCGAAAGGCGUAGGUGAUGGACAACAGGUUGAUAUUCCUGUACCGCCAAUAAGCGUUUGAGAGAUGGAGUGACACAGUAGGAUAAGCUAACCGUACUGUUGGUUAUGUACGGCUAAGCAUUGAGGCAGUCUAAAUAGGCAAAUCCGUUUAGACAAUGCUAGGAUGUGAUGGGGAAGCCCUUCGGGGCGAAGUAGCUGAUUUCACACUGUCAAGAAAAGCUUCUAUCGAGUUUAAAGGCGCCCGUACCGUAAACCGACACAGGUGGGUGAGGAGAGUAUCCUAAGGCCAGCGAGAGAACUAUUGUUAAGGAACUCGGCAAAAUGACCCCGUAACUUAGGGAGAAGGGGUGCCUGUCUAUGACAGGCCGCAGAGAAUAGGCCCAAGCGACUGUUUACCAAAAACACAGGUUUCUGCUAAGUCGCAAGACGAUGUAUAGGAGCUGACGCCUGCCCGGUGCUGGAAGGUUAAGGGGAUCUGUUAGAGCAAUCGAAGCAGUGAACUUAAGCCCCAGUAAACGGCGGCCGUAACAAUAACGGUCCUAAGGUAGCGAAAUUCCUUGUCGGGUAAGUUCCGACCCGCACGAAAGGCGUAACGAUUUGGGCACUGUCUCAACAAUAGACUCGGUGAAAUUGUAAUCCCGGUGAAGAUGCCGGGUACCUGCGACAGGACGGAAAGACCCCAUGGAGCUUUACUGUAGCUUGACGUUGGGUCUUGGUACUACAUGUACAGGAUAGGUGGGAGACUAUGAAGCAUGGACGCCAGUCUGUGUGGAGUCAUCCUUGGGAUACCACCCUUGUAGUACUGGGAUCCUAACCAUAGGCCUUGAAUCAGGUCUUGGAACACCGUCAGGUGGGCAGUUUGACUGGGGCGGUCGCCUCCUAAAAAGUAACGGAGGCGCUCAAAGGUUUCCUCAGCACGGUCGGAAAUCGUGCGAAGAGUGUAAAGGCAAAAGGAAGCUUGAUUGCAAGACAUACAGGUCGAGCAAGGACGAAAGUCGGACUUAGUGAUCCGGUGGUUCCGCAUGGAAGGGCCAUCGCUCAACGGAUAAAAGCUA